GAAGGCAAAAAAUCGAGAAUUGGAGCGAGCGAGUAAAAUCAGAUAUCGGCGUCAGACAAAAGAAAACCCCCUUUACGGAUAGAAGAAGGCCACGAUCAAAACCCUAAAUCUUCGUGAUCUCUGUUCGUUUGAUUCCCUCCCGUUCUCGUUUUUUCCCACAAAAUCCUGUGCUUUAGGAACAUCUCGUCUCGUUUCGGAAUUUGAAUUUAGAGCGCUACGGUGUGUGUUCUGGUUAUGGGGAAGAAGAAGAAGAGAGUUGCGUCUAAGGUAUGGUGUUAUUAUUGCGACAGAGAAUUCGAUGACGAAAAGAUAUUGGUGCAGCAUCAGAAGGCCAAACACUUCAAGUGCCAUGUCUGUCACAAGAAGCUUUCUACUGCCGGCGGUAUGGUCAUCCACGUUCUUCAAGUCCACAAAGAGUCAGUCACCAAAGUUCCUAAUGCAAAACCAGGUAGAGAAGCAACAGAUAUUGAAAUAUAUGGAAUGCAAGGAAUUCCUCCUGAUGUCUUGGCAGCACACUAUGGAGAGGACGAGGAAGAGUCCUUGUCGAAGGUGCCCAAAGUGGAGAUGCCAUCAACUCAGAUGGUUGGAGGUGUGGUGCCCGGAUCACUGGGUAUUGUAUACCCUCCUCAGCCAGGUUUAGCUGCAAUACAACCUAUUUAUCCUUCGACUGGACAAGCACAGCCUACUGCCUGGCCAAUUCCACCUCGUCCCCAACCUUGGUUCCCCCCAAAUUCAGCCGUUUCAAUUCCUCCUCCUGCCCCAUUGGGCUAUGCUCAGCAGCCACUAUUUCCCGUGCAGACUGCAAGGCCCCCACUUCCAGUAUCAUCAACUCCUAUGCUCCAGCCUUUACAAAUUACGCCUCCUGGGUUGACUUCAACCACACCUUCAGUUUCUGUAUCUCAACCGUUGUUCCCUGUUGUUAGUAAUAGCCACGGACCUACCCAAAGUUCUCCUUUUUCUUCAUCUACACUUUCAACAAGCAUUCCUUUGACCUCGGCAGCAGAUAUCAAAGGCUCAGUGACACAUCUGGGCACCAACUCCUUUUCUACAGUUGGUAAUCAAGUUUCAAACAUUCCAGGUGGAAUAUUAAGCAAUUCACACUCCUAUGCCUCGGGACCAAAUACAGGUGGUCCUUCUAUCGGACCACCACCUGUAAUUGCAAAUAAAGCUCCUACUCAACCAUCAACAAAUGAAGUAUAUUUGAUUUGGGAUGACGAGGCCAUGUCUAUGGAGGAAAGAAGAAUGUCCUUAACUAAGUAUCAGGUGCAUGAUGAAACUAGCCAGGUAAGUUAUACUACAACUUAAAUACCACGUGCGGUAGGCUAUACAUGUUUCUGUUUUUGGAUCUUGGAUUCUUUGUGAUAUACAUUUGGAAAUGUAGGAAUGUGUAUGAAUCUGAGUUUUAUUUCAAUUGCAAUUUAUAUAAUGUAUUUUUCUUAGAACCUUGAGCCUGAACUCACUUUUUACCUCGAACUUCAUCAUCAAAUGUAAAUGCUGUUUUCUUUUUAACUGACAUUUUCCAGUUUGCACGCCAUACCACCAAUCUUGUGGGCAUCAAAAGGCUCAAGUAGGUAUUUAUGUUAUCCCACUUACAACGUGUAUAUAAAAACUUUCCAAAUCUUGCUGCAAGAAGGUUCUAUUACAACAAUAUGGUUAAGAACGUAGUAUAUUCAAUUCUUCCUUUUGGCUUUUCAAUCUAUUAUAUGUGAUUCACUCUCCCUAUGCUUGAUGCCAAAGUGUGGGGAUUUGGGUGGAACAAGAUUAUACCCUACAGAUUUUUGCUCAUUCGUAGCAUCAUUACAAUUUAUUUUAUGAUCGAUCAGUGAAUACGACUUUGACCAGAUGAGUUCAAUAGAUGCAGCCAUUGACAAACGAAUCUGGGAAAGCAGGCUUGCUGGCCGAAUGCCAUUUUAGUUCAAGCCAUGAUGACAGUGUUGUGAAGCUCCUCCAUAGGCGGACCGUGGUGUUGUAGGUCUCAGAAGAAACUGUGGCAUUUGUAAGGCCCCAUGCAAUGUUGGGGACAUAUUUUAGGGCUGCCUUCACAGAUUGAGCAAAUUAAACGUCUACAUUGAAUUCAUUGCCAGAAAUUGCAUUGGACAGGACAGAGUUUUCUUUUUCAUAUUUAUGUUGUCAGAUAUCUCUAGGCGAUUUAAAUGAGAGGGUGUUUUCUUUUCUGUCUUUUUCAUUUAUUUUUUUUCCCCUAUUUGUAUCAAUUUUAUAAACCCUUUUUCACUAGAGCUAGAACCCUAUUAGAGUUGACCUUAGAGUAACAUAUACAGUUUCGACCUUGGGAGAUAAUUUAAUCUCCCUUACAAUAUUUUGUUGGUUCUCUA